AAGCCCCCUCCCUGUAUCUUUCCUGUUGUUGUUGUUGUUGUUAUCCCCAGUCUGUCGAUGUGAACAAGAGGAGAAGGGAGAGAAAUGUGAAGAUGAGAGGAGGUGGAACAAUGAAUUUAUAGCGGAAUGCCAUCCUGCAAUGGCAAUUUCAACAAUUCGUCACUGCAGGCUGCCUCUUAAAGGGAGAGCUUCAAAACCACCACUCCCACACUUCCUUCUCAUUUAAUCAGACAGAAGGAGAAACUUGAGGGGAGGCGGAAAGGGGGAGGGGGGGCGGCUUCGAGGGGAGGAGAAAAGCAGCGAGAGUGAGAGGGAAGCAGGAGAGGGAAAGAGCCGGAGGAAGCCGGGCCACGGCAGAGAGAGACCGGCAGGAGAAAGAUGUUGGGGCAUUAACCUGGAGAAUAAACUGGAAUGGGGUCCUCACCUUCCAACAACUGCUGCAAGAAAUGGACUCACAUAAGCCAUAACACAAGUGAAUAAUUGUGACCAUUGAACCUACCAUGAAUUUUGUUUAAAAACACAUGUUGGGUGGAGGCAGUGCUCUGCAGGAAGUAUCACAUGUUAGGAGAGUAAGCACCAGACCCUUCUCCUUUUUUAUUUUCUGAACAGCAGCAAGAUUAUCAGAGGAAGGGUAAAAUGUUAAACUUUCCUUGUAAAAAAAAAAUGACACUUGUUAUAAAAAUACAUUUUAAGGGUGCAAGAUAUGCAUGUGAUGUAUUCUACAGCUGUUCCUUCAGAGGAGUAGAGGACCUGAAAAACUCGCGAGUGUAGUUUAUAUGAGGAGCAGCAGACAUUUAAUUAAUUGCAGUCCUAGAAUUUUACAGCCAAUAUGUGGUCUCUGAACAUCUCUGCUCUAGUUAGCAGAACAUCUGUAGUAGAAAAACAGAGCUCAAAUAAGUCUGCAUUCUCUUGUACCCCUCCAAACCUUACCACUUUUUGUCAUUAUUUCUUUAAAUGUUUUUCCAAAGAUGUGUAUGUUCAGCUUCCUCCUGUCCUCCCAGCCCUUCUUUUGCACAUUGCCUGGAUAUAGAGCCUAUAUUCUGAAAUUCUGGGGCAAUUAUAAUUAAAAAAAGUUUCAAUUUUUUAAAAAAAAUUAUUUUCUUUUUCAGUCAAGUUCUCAGUUGCUGCAAAUUGGGAAGGUUCCACAUGGGCAAAUUGUUAGAGGCACAGCUUUAUGAAUUUACACAUCUAUAAAUGAUAUUCCAGUACUGGAGGUGGAAUAUCUUUUUCCAUGUCAUCUGAGGCAUAAACCAGAAAAUGUACUUCCCUAGACUUCAAAGUCGAAACUGUAAGAGUGAUUAAAGAGAAAUUUAAAACAAACAUUCUCUUGCCAGAUCUCACCUGGCAUUAAUACACACGCUCCACCACUUCAGAGAUGGAGUUCUGGUUGCCGUGAGCUCGGAUUUUUCCAUCUCAGUCCUGGUUGCCCUGAAACUGGGGGAGGAAGGACUUUGCAGGUCCUGUGAGGAAGGAGGGGAAUGCUCUCAGGUGGCACCAGUGCCUGGCCCUGAGCUUCAUCUGGCUUAUCCUCACUCCAAAGAGAAAUCUUUGCCUUGAAAGGGAAAGGUGAGAACCUAGAGCUUGCUCUCCCAACGUUAAUCCCCAAACAGGACCAUUCUGAGAGCUCUUGCUGUCUAAGAGGGCUUGUAGGUGCUCCCAGGGUGCUUCUGGGGUAGGAUCAUGGUCCUGCUCUUGGAGGGAUUCUCCUGUUACCUCUGCUGGCUGUGCUUUGGUUUGCAGAGAGGGGUCACACGGGAUUCCUUUGGGGCGAAACUCAACCAGGAGUAUGUUCCCAUGGGCACACAGGGCACAGGAACAGAGAGAGCUAGACCAAAUAAACCCUCCUAAAGGGGUGCUGAGUGGGUGUCACCUCCUGAGCCAGCUGUUCCACGUCCAGAUCUCCCAUCCAACUGCACCCUAGAGCAGCCAGUCCUGCUACUUUAGAGGAACAUCAGGCUGCAGUGUCAGCUGAGCCCUGCACAACAUCCCUUUUCAGAGGUUUUAGACACUGUGCAGGCUGAGAUGUUCCAUCUGUAAGACAGGGAUGCGGCUUUUGGAAUAUAUUUUCCCAUUUCUAGCAGUGGAAAUCAUGCAUUUAUGAUUAGCACAGACAUGUUAAUGAUCAGCACAUACAUUUAAUAUUUAGCACCUAUCUUGCAGCACACUCACUUCCCUCAGAAGGGCUGGGAGGUCCUCUGUGUUUGUGUGUGACAUUUAAAUGCUAUUUUAGUCUUUAUUUAAGGGCUUAAAUGGGUCUCAAAUGAUGCAUUAGGCUCAGUCUGGCCUUGGGCGUAAGGGCGCGAUUCACCCCGAAAGAAAAGCCCAAACACAAGUCUCAUCACAGCUGCAAUAUUCAUUUCUGGAAAGCACCCAGCAGGUCUUAUCCAAGCCACUACAGACAGGCAGUUUGAGUUUUUCCAGUUCCUAAUGAUUACACAGUAUCCUGGAGUCAGUUGGACAACUUCCACCGAGAGUGAAACUCUUUGUAUUUAAUAUCCCCCGAAAAUAAAAGUGGUAUAAGAGAA